rnacentral:rRNA from 1 species
UUCGGGGGUGAGUACAGUGGCGCACGGGUGAGGAACGCGUAGGUAAUCUACCGUUUGGCGGGGGACAACACCCCGAAAGGAAUGCUAAUACCGCGUAAGACCACGCUUACUAAGGUGAGAGUGGUAAAAGGUGCCUCAAAGCACCACCAAACGAUGAGCCUGCGUCCCAUCAGCUUGUUGGUAAGGUAACGGCUUACCAAGGCGAAGACGGGUAGCUGGUCUGAGAGGAUGAUCAGCCACACUGGCACUGGAACACGGGCCAGACUCCUACGGGAGGCAGCAGUGAGGAAUAUUGGGCAAUGGGCGCAAGCCUGACCCAGCCACGCCGCGUGUGUGAUGAAGGCCUUCGGGUCGUAAAGCACUGUGGGGAGAGACGAAAAAGUGCAGUAGGAAAUGACUGCGCCUUGACGGUACCUCCUUAGCAAGCACCGGCUAACUCUGUGCCAGCAGCCGCGGUAAUACAGAGGGUGCAAACGUUGCUCGGAUUUACUGGGCGUAAAGCGCGUGUAGGCGGACUCGCAAGUCGGUUGUGAAAUCCCUGGGCUCAACCUAGGAACUGCAUCCGAAACUGCUUGUCUUGAGUAAUGGAGAG